AGGGUUUAAAUGGACAUUUCCAAAUGAUGUGUGUUCUAAAGCCUUCAUCCUUCUUAUUGUAUGGCAAAGAAAUUAACAGCCUACAAAUGAUAAUGAGCUCAGUGAAUAUUAUUAACACGAGUUACAACUGACUGACAAGUGCACUGCUGUAAAUCAGGAGCAAGAUCACAGAAGCUUGAGGGCACAUUACUGUCAAGUGUACAAGAAGGAAAAUGGCACAGGGGCUUGUGAGAUCAGAGGGAAGAUUUAAAAAACAGAUAAAGACAGAAAGAUCAUCACCCCAAAACUCCACUAAUUUUGUGGAAGUGAAAUUUUAGCAAAGAUGAGAUUUACCCUGACACAAAGAAAAAAACAGGGAACUUCACUCCUGUGAAGAUGCUUACGCAAUACCUUGAAGAACAAAGGAAAAUUGGUGCUGCUUUUAGUGGAGUGUUUGUGGAAAUACUACAUGUGGGAAAUGGAACAAGAAUGUUCAGCUGGGGCUCCGCUCUUCAAAAUAAAACUGGACUGAAAAAUGACACUAGUUGAAGAAUAUACCAAGAUCACUGAAGCAAUUACUCCCACGUAAUUCUCUUAUAUUUGUUUAUUCUACCACAGGGACAAUGGAUUUAGUUUUGGAAAGCACCAGAGUAGUUUUUCACCACCUUUAAAUUAGGAACAGGCAAUCUAUUUUGUUAAAGGCUACACAGUCUCAACUUCAAGCUCAGCUUAACUGAGCACUUUUUUGUAGGAGUUCACAAUUUGUUGUCAGGCUCUGGUACCUUUGCUAUAGCUGGUUCUUCUUCCUGAGAUGAUUUCCACCAAAGUGUGCCUUUUGGUUACACAGCUGUAAAAUGAUCACAUUUUGCUAGAUGUUUUCUUGACUUACAAGAGGUGGUAAAUUCUCAUUAUAACUACAGUGUUCUAGCAUAAAUUGUAGGUUAUAAAACAAAAAUUUCAUCUAGUAACAAAGAAAUAAUAAAAUCUUUCAGACAGAGCAAUUUCUUAUACAUUUUUAUACGGUUUAAAUAACUGAUCUUCAGAAAGGAAAUCUGAUCCUUCAUGAAUUGCUCAAGAGAUAAGGAGUGCCCUGAAGUAGUGCCUGGCUAAGUGACAAUGGGACCAAUCACUAAAUGCAAUUGAGAAUUUCCAUAUGCAAGUAAUUGUACUGAAACAAGAAAGGAAGUUUCCAAGAGAUUUCUGUUUCUAACACUAAAGGUAUAAAUAUAUAGAUGGCAGCUUUGUUUGUGUUGUGAAGGUUAUUCAAAGUGCUGACUUUUGCCCUAUCCCUUUUCUCACAAUGGUUUAGCUAGUGGUAAUUUUUCCAGUGAUUUAAACAGAUCUACGAGUGUGGGUAGUACUGCUGGAAUUUAUAUUACUAAAUGUGGUUGCUCCCAAGACAGAGAAUAAAACUUGAGUUAGUGACCUGAGAUUGCUGAAACAUGGGACUCAGUCAAUAAUCAGUGGAGACUAAGUCAAUAUAAUUAGUGGAGGCCAAGACAUGCUAUGUUUUACCCUAAAAUAAACAUCUUUAGUUG
rnacentral:lncRNA from 7 species